rnacentral:rRNA from 1 species
UAGGGAAUAUUAGUAAUGGGCGAAAGCCUGAACUAGAAACACCGCGUGUGCGAAGACGGCCUUCGGGUUGUAAAGCACUUUUUGGAAGGAAUAGGAAGGAAGGUACUUCCAGAAUAAGUCUCGGCUAACUACGUGCCAGCAGCCGCGGUAACACGUAGGAGGCAAACGUUAUCCGGAUUUACUGGGCGUAAAGCGCGUGUAGGUGGUUUUGUAAGUAGGGCGUGAAAGCUCCCGGCUCAACUGUGAGAGGCCGUUCUAAACUGCAGAACUAGAGGGUGGUAGAGGGAGGUGGAAUUCCAGGUGUAGCGGUGGAAUGCGCAGAUAUCUGGAGGAACACCAGUGGCGAAAGCGGCCUCCUGGACCAUUCCUGACACUCAGACGCGAAAGCUAGGGUAGCAAACG